rnacentral:rRNA from 1 species
UACGUAGGGUGCAAGCGUUGUCCGGAAUUAUUGGGCGUAAAGAGCUCGUAGGCGGUCUGUCGCGUCUGCUGUGAAAACUCAGGGCUUAACCCUGAGCUUGCAGUGGGUACGGGCAGACUAGAGCGCGGUAGGGGAGACUGGAAUUCCUGGUGUAGCGGUGAAAUGCGCAGAUAUCAGGAGGAACACCGGUGGCGAAGGCGGGUCUCUGGGCCGUAACUGACGCUGAGGAGCGAAAGCCAGGGGAGCAAACGGG